UACGAAGGGGGCUAGCGUUGCUCGGAAUCACUGGGCGUAAAGCGCACGUAGGCGGAUUGUUAAGUCAGGGGUGAAAUCCUGGAGCUCAACUCCAGAACUGCCUUUGAUACUGGCGAUCUUGAGUCCGGGAGAGGUGAGUGGAACUCCGAGUGUAGAGGUGAAAUUCGUAGAUAUUCGGAAGAACACCAGUGGCGAAGGCGGCUCACUGGUCCGGUACUGACGCUGAGGUGCGAAAGCGUGGGGAGCAAACAGG
rnacentral:rRNA from 1 species